rnacentral:rRNA from 1 species
UUUGCCUACGGGACGCAGCAGUGAGGAAUAUUGGUCAAUGGGCGGGAGCCUGAACCAGCCAAGUCGCGUGAGGGACGACGGUCCUAUGGAUUGUAAACCUCUUUUGUCGGGGAACAAAGGCGCCCACGGGUGGGCGGAUGAGUGUACCCGAAGAAAAAGCAUCGGCUAACUCCGUGCCAGCAGCCGCGGUAAUACGGAGGAUGCGAGCGUUAUCCGGAUUUAUUGGGUUUAAAGGGUGCGUAGGCGGUCCGUUAAGUCAGCGGUAAAAUUGCGGGGGUCAACCCCGUCGAGCCGUUGAAACUGGG